UUUAAGCAGUAAAUAUCAUUUUAAAAAUGAAUUGAGUCAGUAAAGUCGGGAUGCUGAUUAUGCUAAGAAACACUGGAUAUUGGUCUAUAAUAGACUAUUGAAUGGGGAAACCAGCAUGUACUAUUUGCACAUGGUCAUGGAUAACUAUUCUUCGUGACGAUAUCCGGGACCGGAGGUCGGUUUUUAAAACGCUUGAAUGAUUCAGAUGAAUGAUGCAAAUUGAAGACGCCGGUAGCCAAUUGCAACUGACAACAACUUGAACAAGUACUUGUUUCUGUUUAUUUAACGAGACAAACACAAUCAAGGAGUUAUGAACGCAUAGAAACUCGAGGAAAUAAAACAGCAGUACAUUGUAUUACAACAAAUGGUCAGAGGAGUUGACUGAUAAUGGACUGGAGUAACCUAGGGUCCAAUGACUCUGAAAAUGCAUGACAGUACUGGCAUGUGAACAUGUAUGUCGACAGCCAAUUCUAAGUAACCUUAAACGUAUACAUUGUAUAUAUACAAAAGACCUGCAAUAAUGAAUUAACUCCUCAGAUGUCAGUGGAAUGGAAGUAAUACACAUCAUAUGUUUCAAUGAAAUUAAUAUGAUUAAUGAUGGGAUAAGACGUAGAGGAGAUCCUAUAUCUACAAUACAUGUAUAUGUAACUGCAAAUGUAUUCCAAGAGUUUAUGGCUGAUUAUGCAACUACAGGAUUUUAUCAUGGAAGCAACAUCUUAGAAGGAUAAGUGCAAAUGUAUGAAGGAAGCCUUGUGUAUAAAUACAUGUAGCAAUUACAUAUGCAGGAGAGAACACUUAAACAUUACUAACAUGUAGUCAUGAUAUGGGCGUGGUGCAUUCUAGAAAUCUAAACACCAGGAAUUAAAUAUUGUAUAUAUUUUUUUUCAACUACAAGUACUUUCAGUAUAUCAUACAAUUCUAAUUCAAAUUAUUGUGUCAACAUGACAGUUACUGUCUAAAAAUGGAAAAUGCUUGUUUUAAAAUGAAUUUUUUAUAAAUAUAUAAAUAACAAGAA